ACGUCUUCGCGUCUGCGACAUAUUCCUCCAUAUUGCCGGUGACGAGCGUUGGGAACACGACUUGAACCUGAAAUCAUGUUAAUCCGCAAAUGACGGUGUCGUUCUGCAACGUUCUACCGUUUCCAAUGACAGUGGAGUACACUCUGAAACAGCGCACACGAGAUCUUUGUAUUUACAAAAUCAGGCUACCAUCAGCAUAUAUAAAAAAGUUAAAUUACCUGUAAUGAAUAA